GUGAACGCUGGCGGUAGGCCUAACACAUGCAAGUCGAACGGCAGCACAGUAAGAGCUUGCUCUUACGGGUGGCGAGUGGCGGACGGGUGAGGAAUACAUCGGAAUCUACUUUUUCGUGGGGGAUAGCGUAGGGAAACUUACGCUAAUACCGCAUACGACCUACGGGUGAAAGCAGGGGAUCUUCGGACCUUGCGCGAUUGAAUGAGCCGAUGUCGGAUUAGCUAGUUGGCGGGGUAAAGGCCCACCAAGGCGACGAUCCGUAGCUGGUCUGAGAGGAUGAUCAGCCACACUGGAACUGAGACACUGUCCAGACUCCUACGGGAGGCAGCAGUGGGGAAUAUUGGACAAUGGGCGCAAGCCUGAUCCAGCCAUACCGCGUGGGUGAAGAAGGCCUUCGGGUUGUAAAGCCCUUUUGUUGGGAAAGAAAAGCAGCAGGUUAAUACCCCGCUGUUCUGACGGUACCCAAAGAAUAAGCACCGGCUAACUUCGUG
rnacentral:rRNA from 1 species